CUCGGCAUGCAAUGGUUGCUGAUUACAACUCUAUGUUGGAGUAGAAUUUGGUCCCCUGCUUCUGUCAAUGCGUUCCAUCCUCACCACAUCAGCGUGGAGUAAUGGGAAGAAUGAUUCGUCUCAUUCUGUAGGAUCCAGUCGAGGAGCUCAUAUUACUUCAGGCUAUGUUUCAAGAGUACGGGUAAAACACAAAGGAGUCACUAAGCAUGGAAGUGGCAAGAAGGAUGAUGUGGGGAAGAGACAGAGAAAGACUUCCAAAAAAAAGGUGGUGGUCCUAACUGAAUAA
rnacentral:lncRNA from 1 species